rnacentral:rRNA from 1 species
AUUGAACGCUGGCGGCAGGCCUAACACAUGCAAGUCGAACGGUAACAGGAAGAAGCUUGCUUCUUUGCUGACGAGUGGCGGACGGGUGAGUAAUGUCUGGGAAACUGCCUGAUGGAGGGGGAUAACUACUGGAAACGGUAGCUAAUACCGCAUAACGUCGCAAGACCAAAGAGGGGGACCUUCGGGCCUCUUGCCAUCGGCUGUGCCCAGAUGUGAUUAGCUAGUAGGUGGGGUAACGGCUCACCUAGGCGACGAUCCCUAGCUGGUCUGAGAGGAUGACCAGCCACACUGGAACUGAGACACGGUCCAGACUCCUACGGGAGGCAGCAGUGGGGAAUAUUGCACAAUGGGCGCAAGCCUGAUGCAGCCAUGCCGCGUGUAUGAAGAAGGCCUUCGGGUUGUAAAGUACUUUCAGCGGGGAGGAAGGGAGUAAAGUUAAUACCUUUGCUCAUUGACGUUACCCGCAGAAGAAGCACCGGCUAACUCCGUG